UACGGAGGGAGCUAGCGUUAUUCGGAAUACUGGGCGUAAAGCGUACGUAGGCGGCUUUGUAAGUAAGAGGUGAAAGCCCGGAGCUCAACUCCGGAACUGCCUUUUAGACUGCAUCGCUUGAAUCCAGGAGAGGUGAGUGGAAUUCCGAGUGUAGAGGUGAAAUUCGUAGAUAUUCGGAAGAACACCAGUGGCGAAGGCGGCUCACUGGACUGGUAUUGACGCUGAGGUACGAAAAGCGUGGGGGAGCAAACAGG
rnacentral:rRNA from 1 species